rnacentral:sRNA from 1 species
UUUGAAGUAUUGGAGGGUGAUCCUGUUUUGAAACAAUCCGUUGGAAAUACCAAUGUAACUGUAUUCCAUUGGGAACCAAAUUGUAGAUUUGGGAGUUGCCUUGAUGGUGUUCAUACGUAUGUGAUUGAAUGUGCUUGAAGGAAAGAAAGCAAGGCUAAAAUUUGGAUUUUCUUUUUUUUUUUUUUGCCUUUUUUAGAAGUAGCCAAAACAAAGCCACGUCACGCCAUGAAACGGAAGCGGACAGCAGAUAAAUCCACCAGUACAAGUGAUCCUGUGAUCGAGGAUGACCAUGUGCAGGUUCUUGUAUUAAAAUCCAAGAAUCUUGUUGGAGUCACUAUGACCAAUUGUGGAAUCACAGAUCUAGUGCUAAAAGACUGUCCGAAGAUGAUGUUCAUCCAUGGUACGUAUUUGGGCCCAUAUUAUACAGGAGUAUCAUGAAUGAGUUAAAAGAAUUAGGAACUCAUAAAUACUGUAAUAGCAUUACUGUCUUAUUUUCUUAAAGGAAAUAUUGUGUUGGGUUAUCUUUAGUUCUGCCUUUGUUCUACUUGUCAAAUUAUUACUCCAUAGUAUUUCUGAGCAUCAUAUAUAGAAACUUGGUUCAUCUUUUAAAAUAGCCUGUCUCCAAAAGAUAAUUACUGCCUGAUCUGGCAGAGUAAAUAACAGCCUGCAUAGGCUUUGGAGUCAGAUAGACCUCAGCUUGAUUGCUGGCUUAGUCAUUUUCUAGCUGUGUGACUUGGGCAUGGUUUUUGAGGGAAGCACCAAUUGGGCCUCAAGUGUAUAACUGCUCUGUAUUUGAUUGAGAUGAUUAAUUAUAUCUUUACUUCAUGGCACAUUAUCAUUAAUCCAAGCCCGUUUUUCUUUUUAGUCACAUGUCCCUCAUUGUUAGUCUCAUCUGCUCCCACCAUCUACACUCGUAUAUUAAAUAUAUUAAAUAUAUAUCUUUCCAGUGCACCUUUUAUGUCUUUAUAUAUGUGUCUGUCUCAAACAUAGGGCAUUAGUUUUUGUGCUUUCUUAAAAUUUUAGUUACGUAAUGUAUCCUAUAAUUGAUCUAUUAAUUUUACCUUUUUUAUUCAAAAUUAUAUUUUAGAUAUCCAUCCAUGUAAAAUUAUGAAGAUCUGACUUAUUUACUUGCCUUGGGCAAGUUAUAUAAUUUUCUGUCUUCAUUUUUUUCAAUCUGUAAGCUGUGCAUAAUUAUGCUUAACUCAUAAAGCAUUUGUGAAAGUUAAAUGCAGUGAUGGAUUUAAAUGUUAAAUGUUUGUGUAUGUGUGUGUAUACAGGCACACUUCAGAGACACUGCAGGUUUGGUUCUAGACCACCAUAAUAAAAGGAAUAUCACAAAGCGAAUCAUAAGAAUUUUUUUAUUUUCCAGCGCAUAUAAAAGUUACGUUUAUACUAUAGUCUAUUAUAUGUGAAGUAGCAUUGUAUUUUUUUUUUUAAAUUUACGUGCCUUAAUUUAAAAACACUUCAUUGGCCAGGCGCGGUGGCUCACACCUGUAAUCCCAGCACCUUGGGAGGCUGUGGCAGGCGGAUCACCUGAGACCAGGAGUUCGAGACCAGCCUGGCCAACAUGGCGAAACUCCGUCUCUACUAAAAAUACAAAAAUUAGCCAGGCGUGGUGGCUCAUGCCUGUAAUCCCAGCUACUUGGGAGGCUGAGGCAGGAGAAUCACUUGAACACAGGAGGCGGAGGUUGCAGUGAGCCAAGAUCGCGCCACUGCAC